rnacentral:rRNA from 1 species
UACGAGGGGUGCAAGCGUUGCUCGGAAUUAUUGGGCGUAAAGGGUAGGUAGGUGGUCUCAUUUGUCAGGGGUGAAAGCCUUGGGCUUAACCCAAGAAGUGCCCCUGAAACGGUGAGACUCGAGUCCUGGAGAGGGUCGUGGAAUUCCCGGUGUAGCGGUGAAAUGCGUAGAGAUCGGGAGGAACACCAGAGGCGAAGGCGGCGACCUGGACAGGAACUGACACUCAACUACGAAAGCGUGGGGAGCAAACAG